GGACCGUUAGCUCACUUGGUUACAGUGUCGUGCUAAUAACACGAAGGUCAAGGAUUCAAUUCUCGCAUGGGCCU